rnacentral:tRNA from 1 species
GUCGGAGUGGUGAAAUGGUAAACACGUGCGUUUCAGGUGCGUAUGAAGAAAUUCUUGAGGGUUCAAGUCCCUUCUCCGACA